AGGUGCGAUCAUACCGGCACUAAUGCACCGGAUCUGAUCAGAACUCCGCAGUUAAGCGUACUUGGGCGAAAGUAGUACUAAAAUGGGUGACCUCUUCAAAAGUCCUUGUGUUGCACCUA
rnacentral:rRNA from 2 species